UACGUAGGUGGCAAGCGUUGUCCGGAUUUAUUGGGUUUAAAGGGUGCGUAGGCGGCUUUGUAAGUCAGUGGUGAAAUAUGGCAGCUCAACUGUCAAGGUGCCAUUGAUACUGCGAGGCUUGAGUACAGAUGAGGUAGGCGGAAUUGACGGUGUAGCGGUGAAAUGCUUAGAUAUCGUCAAGAACACCUAUAGCGAAGGCAGCUUACUAGGCUGUAACUGACGCUGAGGCACGAAAGUGUGGGGAUCAAACAGG
rnacentral:rRNA from 1 species